GAUGAAGAACGUAGCGAAAUGCGAUAAGUAAUGUGAAUUGCAGAAUUCAGUGAAUCAUCGAAUCUUUGAACGCAUCUUGCGCUCCUUGGUAUUCUGAGGAGCAUGCCUGUUUGAGUGUCAUUAAAUUCUCAAGCACAGCUUGGUGUUGGGACUCGCGUUAAUUCGCGUUCCCCAAAUUGAUUGGCGGUCACGUCGAGCUUCCAUAGCGUAGUAGUAAAACCCUCGUUACUGGUAAUCGUCGCGGCCACGCCGUUAAACCCCAACUUCUGAAUGUUGACCUCGGAUCAGGUAGGAAUACCCGCUGAACUUAAGCAUAUCAAUAAGCGGAGGA
rnacentral:misc_RNA from 1 species